AAUUUCCUAUUUUUAUAAUUAAUUUGAAAUAAAUAAAACUUCCGGAGUUUGAUGUGACGUAGCAGCAGGAAAAGUGGCGAAUUGAAUGGUUAAAAGUGUACUGGCAACCAAACAACAGCAAAAUAAUCUACUCUAUGCUGAUUACCAUAGACCUUACGCUGAUAACCACUGAUUUAAUGGCUUCAGCUAGUUCAGUAGCAUGAGGUAUGAGUUAUUUGUGAAGCAAGAAUUUGUGCGAAACAAUGCUGGUGAAUAAACUCUCAUCUGUGCACAUCCGCUAGCAAAAGGAAGGCAUUUUCAUUAAAUUGCAUCUAUAAGAUGUUUCUCAAGCGAAAGAAGCAUGCAAAAUAGCAUAUUCCAGCCCUGCUGUUCGUUAGAUUCGUUUUUGAGACAUGAAUUAUUCUAACGCUAAUGAACAACUGCACGCUACCUAACCGAGGCAUCACUUUUAAAAUUUGAAGGUGUCUGAGGCUGCUUUCUCGCAAAACCCACAGUGUAUUAUAAUGAUUGUGGCAUACCUCAUUAAUUGCAUAACAAGUAAUUUCUCGAUUUGGGAAGAACAUCGCUGCAGUUCUACUGCUGUUUCUGGGGCGCAAGGAUGGCUGCAGAGCUACAGUGCAUGGAAGCUCAUGCCUUCUGCUCGAGAAAUUACAAUGCGUUACAUUGACUGUGCUUUUUCUUAUUGCUAUGUAACAAAUAAUUUAUAAAUUCCGGAAGAAUAUCGCUGCAUUUCUCCACUGUUUUUGGAUCCCGAGAUUAUAUUCUGCGACAGGAAUCGAAGCAAGACUGCAAGCCAUAUCUACAGUGAAGUGUUGGCUGAGCGUAUACACUGUUCAUGUCAGUACUUGCGGAACUGGUGUAGUCGUAGCCUGGACAUUAAACUACCGCAGUGGUACUCUUGCUUCAUGAGUCAGCGUUAAAAAUAAACUCAGUACUUUGAUCGUGCUUCGGACGGACAAUUACUGCUAGACCGUCAUGUCUUCCAUAAGUUUGGGGAAGUUUAUUCUUGUUCUGUUGUCAACAGU